AUUGAACGCUGGCGGCAUGCCUAACACAUGCAGGUCGAACGGUAACAGGUCUUCUGAUGCUGACGAGUGGCGAACGGGUGAGUAAUACAUCGGAACGUGCCUAGUAGUGGGGGAUAACUACUCGAAAGAGUGGCUAAUACCGCAUGAGAUCUACGGAUGAAAGCAGGGGAUCGCACGACCUUGUGCUACUAGAGCGGCCGAUGGCAGAUUAGGUAGUCGGUGGGAUAAAAGCUUACCAAGCCGACGAUCUGUGGCUGGUCUGGGAGGACGAUCAGCCACACUGGGACUGAGGGUCGGCCCAGACUCCUGCGGGAGGGAGCAGGGGGGAAUUGUGGCCAAUGGGCGCAGGCCGGAUCCGGCAAUGUCGGGAGCAGGAUGAAGGCCUACGGCUUGUAAACUGCUUUUGAACGGAGCGAAAAGCCGUAGGUUAAUACCCUGAGGUCAUGACGGUACCGUAAGAAUAAGCACCGGCUAACUACGUGCCAGCCACCGCCGUAAAAC
rnacentral:rRNA from 1 species